rnacentral:rRNA from 1 species
AGAGAAGCGAUGCGGCGACGACAGAGCGGAACUUCAAAGCCUGUCUCAGUUCGGAUUGGAGUCUGCAACCCGACUCCAUGAAGCUGGAUUCGCUAGUAAUCGCGCAUCAGCCACGGCGCGGUGAAUACGUUCCCGGGCCUUGUACACACCGCCUGUCAAGCCAUGGAAGCCGGGAGUGCCUGAAGUGUGCAACCGCAAGGAGCGCCCUAAGGUAAACCGGUGACUGGGCUAAGUCGUAACAAGGUAUC